UACGGAGGGGGCGAGCGUUGUUCGGAAUUAUUGGGCGUAAAGGGCGCGUAGGCGGCCGACCAAGUCGGGUGUGAAAUCCCUCGGCUCAACCGAGGAACUGCACUCGAUACUGGCCGGCUUGAGUCCGGGAGGGGAUGGUGGAAUUCCCAGUGUAGCGGUGAAAUGCGUAGAUAUUGGGAAGAACACCGGUGGCGAAGGCGACCAUCUGGACCGGAACUGACGCUGAGGCGCGAAAGCCAGGGGAGCGAAUGGG
rnacentral:rRNA from 1 species